rnacentral:snRNA from 1 species
AUAUCUUUCUCGACCUUUUGGCUAAGAUGAAGUUUUAUAUUUGUUCUUAUCAGCUUAAUAUAUAGCUUAAUAUUGAUAUGUGGACCGUAUAUUCACUUUGAUAUUAAAUUUAUUUUAAUGGGUAUCAAAU